rnacentral:rRNA from 1 species
UGGGGAAUAUUGCACAAUGGGCGCAAGCCUGAUGCAGCCAUGCCGCGUGUAUGAAGAAGGCCUUCGGGUUGUAAAGUACUUUCAGCGAGGAGGAAGGCGUUGUGGUUAAUAACCGCAACGAUUGACGUUACUCGCAGAAGAAGCACCGGCUAACUCCGUGCCAGCAGCCGCGGUCAUACGGAGGGUGCCAGUGUUAAUCGGAAUUACUGGGCGUAAAGCGCACGCAGGCGGUCUGUCAAGUCGGAUGUGAAAUCCCCGGGCUCAACCUGGGAACUGCAUCCGAAACUGGCAGGCUAGAGUCUUGUAGAGGGGGGUAGAAUUCCAGGUGUAGCGGUGAAAUGCGUAGAGAUCUGGAGGAAUACCGGUGGCGAAGGCGGCCCCCUGGACAAAGACUGACGCUCAGGUGCGAAAGCGUGGGGAGCAAACA